GCAGUGGGAGCCUCUUAAUGGGGUGACUGCGUACCUUUUGUAUAAUGGGUCAGCGACUUAUAUUCUGUAGCAAGGUUAACCGAAUAGGGGAGCCGAAGGGAAACCGAGUCUUAACUGGGCGUUAAGUUGCAGGGUAUAGACCCGAAACCCGGUGAUCUAGCCAUGGGCAGGUUGAAGGUUGGGUAACACUAACUGGAGGACCGAACCGACUAAUGUUGAAAAAUUAGCGGAUGACUUGUGGCUGGGGGUGAAAGGCCAAUCAAACCGGGAGAUAGCUGGUUCUCCCCGAAAGCUAUUUAGGUAGCGCCUCGUGAAUUCAUCUCCGGGGGUAGAGCACUGUUUCGGCAAGGGGGUCAUCCCGACUUACCAACCCGAUGCAAACUGCGAAUACCGGAGAAUGUUAUCACGGGAGACACACGGCGGGUGCUAACGUCCGUCGUGAAGAGGGAAACAACCCAGACCGCCAGCUAAGGUCCCAAAGUCAUGGUUAAGUGGGAAACGAUGUGGGAAGGCCCAGACAGCCAGGAUGUUGGCUUAGAAGCAGCCAUCAUUUAAAGAAAGCGUAAUAGCUCACUGGUCGAGUCGGCCUGCGCGGAAGAUGUAACGGGGCUAAACCAUG
rnacentral:rRNA from 1 species